rnacentral:rRNA from 1 species
AUGAUAUUUGAUGACAUUGGCUCGGUGAUGGAAUUUUACAAAACAUAUGCACACAAUGUCGGCUUUGGUGUACGUCUUGGGCAGCAAAAAGUCGUGGAUAAUGUGCUUCAGUGGAAGCGCUUCUUGUGUGCAAAAGAAGGCUUUCGGACCAAGAAAGGUAUGAUUGCUAUUGACCCUGCUAAGAAAAGGAGAAAGGUGAAAUUGACAAGAUGUGGAUGUGAAGCUUAUAUCUAUGUCACUCGUGAAAGUGAUGGAAAAUAUAGGAUCGCCUCACUCACUGAAUAUCACAAUCACCCUUUUGUGCCUCCUAGCCAACAACAUUUGAUUAGAUCUAAUCGUCAAGUUAGUGAGAGGGUGAAGACAACACUUUAUGACUGCCAGAGAGCUAGCAUUGGCACCGCUUUAGCAUAUAGGUUCCUUCAUGUUGAUGCAGGUGGUUUUGAGCAUGUUGGGUGCACAAAGAAGGACCUACAGAAUCACUAUGGUGUACUGAAAAACAAAAUUAAAAAUUGUGAUGCUCAAAUGCUAGUGGACCAAUUUGGUAGAUUGAAGGCCUUGAAUCCUGCUUUUUUCUAUGAGUACGAAGUUGACGACGUUGGUACAUUGGUCCGUUUGUUUUGGGCAGAUGCAUCUAGUAGGAAAAUUUAUGGUCAUUUCAAUGAUGUGGUAUCUUUUGAUUCGACUUACAACACUAACCAAUAUGAAUACAUCUUUGCACCCUUCACUGGAGUUAACCAUCAUAUGCAAAGUGUAUUUUUUGGGGCGGGGUUUCUACUACAUGAGACAACAGACUCGUAUGCUUGGUUGUUCACGGCGUUUCUUAGAGCAAUGGGUGGGAUUGCACCCAGGCUGAUAAUAACUGAUGAGUGUCUUAGGAUGAAGAAUGCUAUUGGUAAAAUUCUACGAAACACUGCACAUCGAUUGUGUAUGUGGCACAUUAUGGAGAAGGUUCCUGGAAAGGUACAUCCUGAAUUGAAGAAUGAUCUUGCAUUCUAUGAUAGGCUGAAACAUUGUGUGUGGAAUUCUGAAACACCAGCUGAGUUUGAGGAUAGAUGGAAGUCUUUCAUCACAGAGUUUAAGUUGGAGGACCAUGAGUGGUUUGCUAAAAAGUACAUGCUUCGUGCGACAUGGAUACCAGCUUAUUUCAUGAACAUUCCACUAGCUGGUCUUCUUAGGACAACUUCGAUAUCAGAGAGUGCAAACUUGUUUUUUAAGCGCUUCAUCUGUCGCAGGCUCACAUUUGUUGAAUUUUGGCUAAGGUUUGACACUGCUUUGAAAUGUCAGAGGCAGAAUGAGUUGAUUGCUGAUAACACAAGCCAAUACACAACAACUGAAUUGUUAACAUCAUGGGAUAUAGAGAGACAAGCUAGGGCCUUAUUCACACAUGAGAUCUUUGAAUUGUUCCAGGCUCAGGUGCUUGCUGCGAGAGAUGAAUGUGAUGUUCAGGAGAUGGCAAAUGGCGAGGGGAUUAAAAUCAUCUCUAUUAGCGAUCAAUAUAAGAAGAUUAGAGAAGUUUGUUAUGACACAAAAACCAUGACUGCUAAAUGUUCUUGUAAGCUUUUCAAGUCAACAGGAAUUAUAUGCCGCCAUAUUAUCCGAGUAUUGAGGGGUGCCAAGAUAAAUGAAUUACCGAGCUCAUGUGUUCUUAAGCGGUGGCAGAAAAAUUGCAAAAGGGACAUUGUAUUGGAUGGGGAAGGAAAUGUGCUUGAAGAGAAGUUCAUUGACCAAGUAGACAUGGCCGUGAAAAGGAAGAUAGCUGCUGUCAGGAACAAGCUAGAAGAUCUUAUACAGAAUGCUAAAGGGUCCAUGGAAGGAAUUGAAUUGCUCCACACUAGUUUGUGCAAUGUUGAGUUGGAUUUAGCCCAGCUCGUACCGGACGUAGCAUGUAGCACACAAGAAAAUCAGGAGUCGUUUAUUGGGAGCGCCAUUCCAAAGCAUGUUACCAUCCUCACACCUACUGAUGUCAAUGGAAGGGGCACAUGCUCUAGAAUAAAGGGACACAGGGAUGGUGUGAAGAGUGGAUCUGGUGAGAAGAGCAGAAGGCCUGGAAUCCAUCAAAAAGUCGCGCGCAAAUGCAACAUUUGUAAGGAACUGGUGUUCCAUGAUGCAGGAACAUGCUCCAAGAAACAAACGGCACAACAGUAG